CGAACUCCCACGUCCUCCUGAAAAAUUAAUUUAAACAGGGAAGUAUACAAUACGACGGGAAUAUGCUCAACGAAUCAAUAAUGGCUCAAUAACAAAUGUCAGAGUAGCACAACGAAUCCAUAUGUCAUCAAAGACCUCAUACCAGGUCUUUCCUGAUACAUUACUAGUGAUCGGCCUCAUCCACGUCUCCUAGCUCUCGGCUUUUUCCGG
rnacentral:lncRNA from 1 species